UACGGAGGGUGCGAGCGUUGUUCGGAAUUACUGGGCGUAAAGCGCGCGUAGGCGGCUUUGUAAGUCAGAUGUGAAAGCCCACGGCUCAACCGUGGACGUGCAUUUGAAACUGCAAGGCUUGAGUACUGGAGGGGGUAGUGGAAUUCCCGGUGUAGAGGUGAAAUUCGUAGAGAUCGGGAGGAAUACCGGUGGCGAAGGCGACUGCCUGGCCAGAUACUGACGCUGAGGUGCGAAAGCGUGGGGAGCAAACAGG
rnacentral:rRNA from 1 species